GUCUCUGUGGCGCAAUGGGUCAGCGCAUUCGGCUGUUAACCGAAAGGAUGGUGGUUCCCAGGGACG
rnacentral:tRNA from 1 species